rnacentral:sRNA from 1 species
ACUGUGGAGAGCUAUACAAACUGUAGUAGACAGCUUUUGAACAAAAGCGUCGAGAGCGGGGUUCUUUGAAGCAGUAA